AAAAAACUCUCAUCUAAUAUCACUCAGCUGCCCGUGCCUGUUCUCCCAAAUACCCAAAUAGCUUUCUUUUCUCUCUAGAACAAAUCUCCUCAAUUCGGUGGAUUGAAGCACGAGUGAGAUCUGCUCUUAAGGUUUGCUAUUUAAUUUGAUGGUUAUUUUGUUUCUUUGCUUCUGGGUCUUUCACGCUAGUUGGUUGUCUUUGAUGCUUAGGGUUUCUUUCAGUCUCGAUUUCUUCCUGGAGAGUCGACCAGAGACUUUACUUUACGGAUUCUUCUUGGCAUUUUUACCUCUAUUUUCAAGUCAAGCUCCUGUCUUAUUUGAAUUGAUAGAGAACAGGGGUAGAUGAAUAGAUGGAUUGACUGAGGAAAACAGUCAGUUAAUUAGAGGAUUUUUGUUGCCUUGGUGGCAAUGAUUUACACUGCAAUUGAUAACUUCUACCAAACUGACGAGCAGUUACAGAACUCACCAUCUAGGAAAGAUGGAAUUGAUGAAGCCACUGAAACUACCCUCAGAAUCUAUGGAUGUGAUCUGAUCCAAGAGAGCGGAAUUUUACUCAAACUACCUCAAGCUGUGAUGGCCACUGGUCAAGUUCUAUUCCAUCGUUUCUAUUGCAAGAAGUCAUUUGCCCGAUUUGAUGUCAAGAAAGUUGCGGCUAGUUGUGUGUGGCUUGCAUCUAAACUAGAGGAAAGCCCUCGGAAGUCGAGGCAAGUCAUUAUUGUUUUUCAUAGAAUGGAAUGCAGGAGAGAGAAUUUACCUAUAGAAUUUUUGGACCUAAAUUCAAAGAAAUUUGCAGAGUUGAAGGUAGAACUGAGCAGAACAGAAAGACACAUAUUAAAAGAGAUGGGUUUUGUUUGUCAUGUUGAGCAUCCCCACAAAUUCAUUUCAAACUACCUUGCCACCCUCGAAACACCUCCAGAAUUGAGACAAGAAGCUUGGAAUCUUACAAAUGAUAGUUUGCGUACAACCUUGUGUGUUCGUUUCAAGAGUGAGGUUGUGGCUUGUGGGGUUGUAUAUGCUGCUGUGCGUAGGUUCCAGGUACCCCUUCCUGAGAAUCCACCAUGGUGGAAGGCAUUUGAUGCGGAUAAAUCUGGGAUUGAUGAAGUUUGUAGAGUUCUGGCUCACUUGUACAGCCUUCCCAAGGCAAAGUACAUAUCAGUCUGCAAGGAUGGAGAUUUUUCUUUUUCUAGCAAGUCCUCAGAUUCACAACUGCAAUCAGUUCCAAAGGAAGUUCUGCAGGGUGGCUCACCAGCUAAUGAUGUUGUUGCUCCUAAGGCAGCCUCAACUGUUGUUAGUGUUGAAUCUGGCGGUUCAAAGGGUGCAAUAAAAGCAGCUCUAGACAAGCUGAAGGAAUCUAAGAAGAGUGAUGAUGAGUCCAAGUCUGCAAAUGGGGAGGCAAGAGAUGAGCCCAUUCCAAGGUCCAAGUCUGAGCACAGAGCAGAGGCAAGUGGGGACCGGAGCAAGGACAG
rnacentral:misc_RNA from 1 species